UACGUAGGGGGCAAGCGUUAUCCGGAUUUACUGGGUGUAAAGGGGGCGCAGACGGCGAUGCAAGCCAGGAGUGAAAGCCCGGGGCCCAACCCCGGGACUGCUCUUGGAACUGCGUGGCUGGAGUGCAGGAGGGGCAGGCGGAAUUCCUGGUGUAGCGGUGAAAUGCGUAGAUAUCACGCAGAACCCCGAUUGCGAAGGCAGCAUGCCGGCUUCCUACUGACGCUGAAGCACGAAAGCGUGGGGAUCGAACAGG
rnacentral:rRNA from 1 species